UGCGUCCUACGGGGCGCAGCAGAGGGGAAUAUUGGGCAAUAGGCGCAAGCCUGACCCAGCAACGCCGCGUGAAGGAAGAAGGCUUUCGGGUUGUAAACUUCUUUUCUCAGGGACGAAGAAAGUGACGGUACCUGAGGAAUAAGCCACGGCUAACUACGUGCCAGCAGCCGCGGUAAUACGUAGGUGGCAAGCGUUAUCCGGAUCUACUGGGUGUAAAGGGCGUGUAGGCGGGACUGCAAGUCAGAUGUGAAAAUUAUGGGCUCAACCCAUAACCUGCAUUUGAAACUGUAGUUCUUGAGUGAUGG
rnacentral:rRNA from 1 species